rnacentral:lncRNA from 1 species
AAAUUAUCCACAAAAUCACUUUAAAUCACCUUUUUCAUCCCUAAUUUGAGCUACCCAAAGGAUUUGGGCAACUUUAGUGACCUCGCAAAUAGCAAAAAUCCCUAGAUUGGUGCUGCACUUGUUACUGGCAAGAACACAGAAAAUUGGCCGUGAAUUUUGGGGGAAAGCCAGAGUUCGAAGACUGAAUCUUAAGGAAAACAAGAGCUAAGGGAGUGAAGGCAUAAUUUGAGGUAUAUAAUCUCAAUAUUUUCCAUCUAAUUUCGAUAUUUUUUUUGUCAAAUGUAGGUCGGAUAGACUGAAUCUUGAGUUCAUGGGUCAAAUUUUCCACUUAAAUCUUUCAAUGGUGACAUAUUUCUUACAAUUACCUCAUCUUUGUUCUCUUCUUCCUUUUUUUGGAAAAUUUUCAGAGAGUAGAUUGAUAUAUCUACCGUCUAAUAAUGAGUUUGAGAGAGGAUUAGGAGCUCAGGAACCUGAUGAGAAC